CAAGCAGACGUGUCAACUUCUUGCACGCAAAUUUGCUUUAAUUUUUAUAAAGACGUUUUUUAAUUAUUUCAAAUAAUGGCACCCAAACAACGAAUGCGCAUUGCAAACGAGAAGGCGAGCAAAAACGUCGUAAACCGUGGAAACGUACCAAAAUCAUCUAGGCCACAAGAAGACAGUUACCCAGUCGGUCCAUGGCUGCUCGCCCUUUUCAUUUUCGUCGUCUGCGGAUCGGCCGUAUUUCAAAUAAUCCAAUCGAUCCGUAUGUCGUAAAAGCUGUUACCUUCCAAGGAGUUAGCGAUUGUUGUUUUACUUUAAUUGAAUUACCUCUCUCUUAAGUCAAUUUUUGACGCUAACUCCCCACAACAUUCGUUGUUAUUAUUAUACUCGUAAAGAUAAUGUAGUUUUACAUUUUUUUAAAACGCGAAUUUAAGUGAAAACGUCUCACAGAUUGCAUUUACAUCAUCUUUCAAAUGAUACACAUUCCAGUCAUUGUAAUAAUUUUGUGUAACAUUUGUACAAAUUAAUAAUAUAUUAUUUGUUUGCACAUUUCCUCUUUAUUUUAGAUAACAUAUUAGUUGCGCGUAAUAGAUAAGAUAACUAAUACUGAAUGUAAAACACUUCAGGCUUGUUUGUAAAUUUGGCACGCUUCCUUCUGAUAUACAACGAUAAACGAGCCACACUUUGUCUUAAUAUACUUGUUCGUUUAAAAGAAACUUGUUUGAGAAUAGCUGCACUUUGCAUGUCAUUUAAUAUUCCAAUACAUGCCUCGGGAAUCAUUUCAACUGGUGAAAAUGGGUUGUUGUUAAACCACUUUAUCAUCAGGUCCAAAACGGUCACCUUCUCACGCGUGCUCAUCUACAACAUACACGUUACUUAUAGUAAAUUCAUCAAAAAAGAAACCUCGCAAGUCAUUUUCCUAAUUUCGCAUUCUUGUCUUGUUAACAAUAUCGGGCGGGCUUUUCUUUGACUUAACCAGGAGUAUUGCCCGCAUCUCUUUUCUUGUCGAAAUUUCAUUAACUCUUCCAGCUGUAAGUGAACUUAUUGUAAAUGGCUAGAAGGGGAAAUUCUUUACUUGCUUGCUGCAGGAACUGCGAGCUGUUCAUUUUGAAUGCCCGAAUGGUAUAAAUUCUCGCUUAGAAUAUUUAAGUGGUGCGCAAACAAGUGAUAGCGAGCUCAUAAAUAAUCGUAUCCCAAUAACAAGCAUUUUUGUUUUACGCUGAUGAGUUUUGUGCAUUAUUUGAUUAAGAUAAAUCAGGAUUCAUUUUAGUUUAUUGUUUGAUUAUGAUAUUUUCAACAUGUGCAUGCAUGAUUUUUGCUAAGAUUAGCCAGAAGUACUUUUGGUCUGUAGGUGCUUUCAAGAGCU